UUAUAGAUAGUCCCUGCAUUAUGUGUUUUUGACUAAUCUAGUCCUUUUAUUAUAGUUUCAUCAUUUCUUAGUCUUUUACUUCUCGAGAUGUAUAUUUUCAAUCACGAUGUCAACUUUUACGUACUAUAAAAAAUAUUAAAAUGCAUACGUCAUAUUACCAUAUUAAGAUGUAUUUUCUCAAGAAUUAGGACAAAUUUGAGAAAUUUAGGAUGGAGAUUAAGGAACGGGGUUCCAUGGCCAACCUUCUUUAGGGUGUUAGUAUGGCGAAUAUGGAAGAAUAGAAAUCUCUUUAUUUUUCAGGGACUUUCUUGAACUUUUUAGAAACCAUUAAAAUCUCUUUAUGCUGGGUAGCACAAUAUAGCUUAGCACAAAGUUGGGAUUAUAGGAAAUUAUAGGAAUAGUAGGAUUGAUGAAUGAUUGUAUUAGGAAGUUAGAUCAGUUAGGUUUUUUUCACAAAAAGGAAAUUAAAUGUGAAACUACCAAUUAUAUGAAGGAAGGAAGAUAAAACAAAAAAUUUGAGAGGUGAAAGUUAAACAUUUUGUAUUAAAAAUAAUUUAAAUCAAAAUUUUAACUUUUGGAAGGGAC
rnacentral:lncRNA from 1 species